ACGGUACCUGCAGAAGAAGGUGCGGCCAACUACGUGCCAGCAGCCGCGGUGACACGUAGGCACCAAGCGUUGUCCGGAUUUAUUGGGCGUAAAGAGCUCGUAGGCGGUUCAGUAAGUCGGGUGUGAAAACUCCAAGCUCAACUUGGAGACGCCACUCGAUACUGCUGUGACUUGAGUUCGGUAGGGGAGCGGGGAAUUCCUGGUGUAGCGGUGAAAUGCGCAGAUAUCAGGAGGAACACCGGUGGCGAAGGCGCCGCUCUGGGCCGAAACUGACGCUGAGGAGCGAAAGCGUGGGUAGCAAACAGGAUUAGAUACCCUGGUAGUCCACGCCGUAAACGUUGGGCACUAGGUGUGGGCUCUAACCAACGGAGUCCGUGCCGUCGCUAACGCAUUAAGUGCCCCGCCUGGGGAGUACGGCCGCAAGGUUAAAACUCAAAGGAAUUGACGGGGGCCCGCACAAGCAGCGGAGCGUGUUGCUUAAUUCGAUGCUACGCGAAGAACCUUACCUGGGUUUGACAUGCUGGGAAAAGCCACAGAGAUGUGGUGUCCUUCGGG
rnacentral:rRNA from 1 species